CCUACGGGGGGCAGCAGUAGGGAAUCUUCCACAAUGGACGAAAGUCUGAUGGAGCAACGCCGCGUGAGUGAAGAAGGGUUUCGGCUCGUAAAGCUCUGUUGGGAGUGAAGAAAGAUAGAGGUAGUAACUGGCCUUUAUUUGACGGUAAUUACUUAGAAAGUCACGGCUAACUACGUGCCAGCAGCCGCGGUAAUACGUAUGGGGCAAGCGUUAUCCGGAUUUACUGGGUGUAAAGGGAGUGCAGGCGGCUUGGCAAGUCUGAUGUGAAAGGCUGGGGCUCAAACCCAGGACUGCAUUGGAAACUG
rnacentral:rRNA from 1 species